rnacentral:lncRNA from 1 species
CCAUGCGCUGCACAUAGAAUUUUUUUUUUAAAGAAUUUUGAGCUACUAAAGUUUGGGCCUGGUUGAAGGGCCCAAAUGAGUUGGAUUAUUACAUUCUUUUUUCUUAAAAUAAUUUCAUCCUCAAAAUUAGCUUUGCUUGAUCAAUAACUUUAAAAAUACAUUGUUUAUGUCAUCCUCGAGCUUUUAAUAGUCUACUUUACAUAGUACUUGUUUCACAAG